rnacentral:rRNA from 1 species
AACUAACGCUGGCGGCGUGCCUAAUACAUGCAAGUCGAACGCGAAAGUCCUUCGGGAUGAGUAGAGUGGCGCACGGGAGCGUAACACGUGGGUAAUCUGCCUUAAAGUGGGGGAUAACCCCUCGAAAGAGGGGCUAAUACCGCAUAAAGUCUUCGGGCUUCGGCUUUGAAGAUUAAAGACGACCUCUGUUUACAAGUUUUCACUUUAAGAUGAGCCCGCGCCUUAUUAGCUAGUUGGUGAGGUAAUGGCUCACCAAGGCUUUGAUAAGUAGCUGGUCUGAGAGGAUGACCAGCCUCACUGGAACUGAGACACGGUCCAGACUCCUACGGGAGGCAGCAGUAGGGAAUAUUGCACAAUGGGGGAACCCUGAUGCAGCAACGCCGCGUGAGUGAUGAAGGCCUUCGGGUCGUAAAGCUCUGUUGCAGGGAACGAAAAAGUUGGAGGUAACAUUUCCAACCUUGACGGUACUCUGCGAGAAAGGACCGGCUAA